GAGAUUCAUCGCGUCUCGCCUCGCCGGCACUGGGCGGUCGUGUGACGAAUGGCGUACGCGUCGUUUGCACCUUCUGCUCGCUGUGAACCGGUGGCGAACGUGUGCACUUCUCCCCUGGUAGGACGUCGCGAUCCGUUGGGUGUCGGUCUACGGCCCGUGGUGGAGCCCGUAGGCGAUGGCUUGCCAUUGUUUGCGGACCCACGGUGUUUCCUGACCGACUCGCUCGACGGUGUACAGAUGGCGCAGGGCCGCAACUUAGUUUGCGUCUGGCCCGUGGCAAGCACGGUUAGGUGUGUUGGCGAUCGGACCUAGUGCCGAUUCCGGCCCCUGGCGGCUGUUGGCUGCGGUGUUCUCGGACAGACCUUGUUUUUGAAACGCCAAUCUGCGACGCUAUUGCUUUGGGUACUUUCAGGACCCGUCUUGAAACACGGACCAAGGAGUCUAGCAUGUGCGCAAGUCAUUGGGACAUCACUAAACCCAAAGGCGUAAUGAAAGUAAAGGCUCGUCUUGUGCGAGCCGAGGGAAGAUGGGCGUACCGUUCCUAAUACGGCGGUCGUUCCGCAUUCCCGGGGCGUCUCGUUCUCAUUGCGAGAAGAGGCGCACCAAGAGCGUACACGCUGGGACCCGAAAGAUGGUGAACUAUGCCUGGUCAGGACGAAGUCAGGGGAAACCCUGAUGGAGGUCCGUAGCGAUUCUGACGUGCAAAUCGAUCGUCGGAACU
rnacentral:rRNA from 1 species